rnacentral:rRNA from 1 species
AUGCGUUAGCUGCGCCACUCAAGCUCGUAAAGCCCGAACAGCUAGUUAUCAUCGUUUACGGGGUGGACUACCAGGGUAUCUAAUCCUGUUUGCUCCCCACGCUUUCGUACCUCAGCGUCAAUACUUGUCCAGUGAGUCGCCUUCGCCACUGGUGUUCUUCCGAAUAUCUACGAAUUUCACCUCUACACUCGGAAUUCCACUCACCUCUCCAAGAUUCUAGCUAUCUAGUUUCAAAGGCAGUUCUGGAGUUGAGCUCCAGGCUUUCACCUCUGACUUGAAUAACCGCCUACGUACGCUUUACGCCCAGUAAUUCCGAACAACGCUAGCUCCCUCCGUAUUACCGCGGCUGCUGGCACGGAGUUAGCCGGAGCUUAUUCUCCAGGUACUGUCAUUAUCAUCCCUGGUAAAAGAGCUUUACAACCCUAAGGCCUUCAUCACUCACGCGGCAUUGCUGGAUCAGGCUUUCGCCCAUUGUCCAAUAUUCCCCACUGCUGCCUCCCGUA